GCUACCAUCCAGGACCCCCCGGGCUCCCAACAGGAGGCGGGAUGUGGGCUUGCGGGGCGGGACAUCUUCGUUGUAUUCCCUUCACAUCUUGCCCUCUCGGAGCCUGGCGGUGGCCCGAGGAGUCAACACAGGGGGAUAGAACACCUUUUCCCCUCACAAAAACCCAGCGCGGAGCCCUCCUCUCCGCCCUGCAUCCUGUCGUGAGGCACAAGCGGACCCCUACCCUUCCCCCUCCCCGGCCAACCUCGCUGCUCCGGGCUGACUUCUCUCUUUCCUCUUCCCCACAGUGCGUGGCCUGGGCCGCAGUCGCUCCCAUGGCGGCCGCCCGGCAGGGAGGGAGGCAGCAGAGACCGCCCCGAGGCACCGACUGGGCCUUCCAGUCCUCCCCCCAACCACGAAGGCUUGGGGCGCUGGCCUGCCGCGGGAGGCCAAGCAGGGUGGGCCUCGCCGUUGGGGAGGGCCGGGCAUCGGGAGUUGUGCCUUUGAACGCCCGUAGAGGUCUCACUUAGCAACUUCAUGUUAGAAAUGUUCUGGACAUGGACGAUCACACCUAAAUUAGAAGCAAUGCUCAGGACCUCUUGAGACCAAAUAAUGCCUUCUGCUAAAAGUCUGGCGGUGUCUUAAGUGGCCAACACAGAGGGGUAUAAAAGUUCUCUCUCAAACCCAGAGGUGAGGUUGAAACUCUUCUUUGGAUCAUGAUGAGAGGAACACAUUCAUGAAACUACUGAACUUCAAGAAGUUACCAAAUCAACUCUGUUGCAUUCAAAAUAGCUUCUAGGUUUCUCAAAUGUGUUGAUGCUUCAUGAACCUAUGGAAAAUAUCUUGGGUGAAAAGAGUUCCUUGUAAAUGGAUUGGUCUCCAGGGAGGAAACCAGCAUGUGCUCGGGGUUGGAACUGAUAGUAAGCUUCAGCUUAUGAUUUGAUGAGUGGCUGAUCUAUGAAUCCAUACGAGAUAACUCCAGUUGUUGCCUGUCAAGUCUUGAAAGUGAAAUUGAGGCAAGCAAUGGCUGAAACUACACAUCUUCAAUGAUCAUGUUUGAACAGGAAAGUCACUGUUUGUUGAAACUGACGUUUCUUAACAAAAUCUGCUGUAAUUUGUCUGUCUGUGUGUAUUAAUUGAAAUAAAACAUGAGAAUGCUAGCAGAA